rnacentral:lncRNA from 1 species
GGCAGAUGGCUUCUGACAUGUAACACAAGCCCUUAGACUAUAGCCUGGGCUGUAUUCUUCCAUCACAGGCCUUCUUCACUCUUUAGAGAAUGCCAACCAAUCUCCUGACAUAACAAGACAUGCCGCCCCCACUAAGCUACAUGCAUGUGAGACAGACAAGAGGACGUGAGCAGUGCCCCCAUGUCUCAGCAUUUGGCUUGCUGCCUGUGGAGUUGCAUUAGCUGCUAGUGUUUGUAGGAUGCAUGGCUCAGCAGAUGCUCCACCAUAAAGUCUGUUCUGGCACUGCUGCAACGCAAUAAUUUCUUUCCAAUGUCGAAUGAGGCGGUGCAGCAGAUUGCUCGACAUGGGGGCACAACGUCUCUCACCUCACAGCUUCUUGCCUGUCCUUGCUUCAACAAUAAUGUAAGCUUUCUUCGAGCGUCAGGACAUCUCCAUCUGCAUCAUGACAUGCAUGUAUGUGAGAGCAAAUCUGAGCCCAGCAGAAGCUUCAAGUUAAAUGAGCAGCUUCAAUGGCCUUUCUAAUAAAGAACUGGUCCUACUUAUGGGUGGUCUUAAAAAGUUUAAUUAAACUCAGUUGUAAACAUGAAUGGUGAGCAAUAAUAACCAAUUCCAGAAGCAUAUCUCACUGUCUCAAUGAGCAAAUGAAGAGGCAGCUAGAAACUAGAUGAUGAAAACUUACUAGUUGAAUUUUUUUUGUCAGUCACUUGUAUCAAUGCAUUUCACAUGCUCAGUUUCAAGUGCAAAUACUGAAACACCAGGCAUGGAUGAUAAUAGUGUAGUAAGAC